ensembl:snRNA U2 U2 spliceosomal RNA
AUUGCUUCUAGGCUUUUUUUGCUAAGAUUAAGUAUAAAGUAUAGUACCUGUUUUUACUAGUAUAACAUCUGACUUCCUCUGAGAACAAUAUGUUAAGUAGAUUUUUGGAGCUGGAAUAUGGAGCUGACAUUUCUUCGGUGCAUUCCCACACCAACCUGAUAUUGCAGUAUAUUCAGGCACCCUUU